rnacentral:rRNA from 1 species
AACGAACGCUGGCGGCAUGCCUAACACAUGCAAGUCGAACGAGACCUUCGGGUCUAUUGGCGCACGGGUGCGUAACGCGUGGGAACCUGCCCUUAGGUUCGGAAUAACUCCCCGAAAGGGGUGCUAAUACCGGAUAAUGUCUUCGGACCAAAGAUUUAUCGCCUUUGGAUGGGCCCGCGUUGGAUUAGCUAGUUGGUAGGGUAAACGCCUACCAAGGCGACGAUCCAUAGCUGGUCUGAGAGGAUGAUCAGCCACACUGGGACUGAGACACGGCCCAGACUCCUACGGGAGGCAGCAGUGGGGAAUAUUGGACCAUGGGCGAAAGCAUGAUCCAGCAAUGCCGCGUGAGUGAUGAAGGCCUUAGGGUUGUAAAGCUCUUUUAACCGGGAUGAUAAUGACAGUACCGGGAGAAUAAGCUCCGGCUAACUCCGUG